UUCCCUGUAGCUCAGUUGGUAGAGCAUGGUGUUUGCAACGCCAGGGUUGUGGGUUCAAUUCCCACGGGGAAA
rnacentral:tRNA from 1 species